rnacentral:rRNA from 1 species
AUGGAUGGAGUGCUGACAUUGCAUGAGAUCUUGCACCAUACUCAUGUUAAGAAAAAGGUCGGCAUUAUCAUUAAACUUGAUUUUGAAAAAGCCUAUGACAAGGUUAACUUGGACUUCCUGUUGAAAUGCCUUGAGAUUAGGGGGUUCGGUAAAACUUGGUGUAGAUGGAUGAAAAAUAUUCUCCAGCAUGGUACUGUGAGUGUGAAACUGAACAAUACUUCGGGGCCUUAUUUUCAGAGUUAUAAAGGGGUUCGUCAAGGGGACCCAGUGUCGCCUUUCUUGUUUAACAUCGCUGCUGAGUUCAUGUGUAAGAUGGUGUUACAGGCGCAAAGUAAUGGCUUAAUUGAUGGGUUAGCAUCUGAUUUGGUGGAGAAGGGUGUGGAUAUUCUGCAGUAUGCAGAUGACACAGUGUUGUGUGUAGAGCAUAAUCCUAAAAAGGCACUUAAUCUAAAGUUGUUGCUUUACAUGUUCGAACUCAUGUCUGGUCUAAAAAUCUACUUUCAGAAGAGUGAAAUUCUUUGUGUGGGAGGAGAUGAUAAUAUCCUGGAAGAAUAUGCUGACAUCUUUGGAUGCCAGAUCGGUCACUUCCCGAUGAAAUACCUUGGGGUCCCUGUUAGUUAUUCAUCAGUGAGAGGGGUGGAUUGGGACUUUUUAGAAGCUAAGUAUAUUAAGAGAUGCGAGUCAGGUCUCGGGAGCAAUGCUUCGUCGGGAGGGAGAUUAACGCUGUUGAAUGCUAACAUUUCUAGCAUAGCUUAUUACUACAUGUCUAUGUUCUUGCUGUCCAAAACUAUUAUUGAAAGGUUGGAUAAGCAUAGAAGAAGAUUCUUUUGGCAAGUUACUAAAAAAAGAAAAUGA